GCUUAACAAAGCGUGCUUGAAGACUGAGCCCAGUUUGAGAUGUGGGCUUCAAUAUCAAAAGAAAACGCUGCGACCUAGAUGUAUUCUUGGAGUCACCCAGAAAACCAUCUGGACGCAGGGACCGAGCCCCCGAAAAGCAAAGGAGGAUGGCAGCAAACAAGUGUCUGUGCACAGGAGUCAGAGAGGGGGAACCGCCGUCCCAACAUCACAAAAAGUGAAAGAAGCCGGAAGAGAUUUUACCUAUUUAAUAGUGGUGCUUUUUGGAAUCAGCAUUACAGGUGGCUUGUUUUACACGAUUUUCAAAGAACUUUUUUCUUCAUCCAGUCCUAGCAAGAUAUAUGGGAGAGCCUUAGAAAAAUGCAGAUCACAUCCUGAGGUGAUCGGUGUCUUUGGUGAGUCUGUUAAAGGCUAUGGGGAGGUGACAAGGCGGGGUCGCCGGCAGCAUGUCAGGUUCACUGAAUAUGUAAAAGAUGGGCUGAAACACACGUGUGUGAAAUUCUACAUUGAGGGCUCUGAGCCAGGGAAGCAAGGAACGGUGUAUGCGCAAGUGAAAGAGGUGUGGGAAUCAUGGGAUGUGGGGUCAGAGGUUCUGAGCGCGGUGUUAUUUAAGUUCUGGAAAGGAAAAUAAUACCUGGAAACACUACAUUUUUUUCAGAACCCAGGAAGUGGUGAAUAUGAUUUUCGAUAUAUAUUUGUAGAAAUUGAAUCUUAUCCUAGAAGAACUAUUAUCAUUGAAGAUAAUCGAUCCCAAGAUGAUUAAAAUAGGGUUUCUGAUGGAUGUUGAAUGGCGUGGACUCGCUACUCCGUUCUUCACAGCUGCCUUCCAGAAUGUGUUCAAAAGAAAGACAAGAAGGAGUGUAUGGCUUAUAAAGUGAAUCUAAUACAGUAUUUGUUGCAUUUAAACAAACUAGACAUUUUCUUACGGAAAAAUUAUGAAAUACAGCAUAUUUUAUGUUCUCCCAUUGACUCAAUCAUGACAAUAUUUCUGCUUUAACACCAUCUUUCAUGAUUAGAAAUGUUUGUUAUUGGAAAUGUUACACCAUGUAAAUAAAGG
rnacentral:lncRNA from 1 species